rnacentral:lncRNA from 1 species
ACUGUGCUCCCCUCCCUACUCCCGGCCCGUAGUGGAGGUGACUUUCCUGCGCAGCGCCGCUUCUGAGGGCGGAGAACCCACAGGGAGUGCGACCCCUUUGCACGCUGUGAGUGGGCAACUGUCCGAGGGACUCGAGCCGAUCGAAGGCUGGACGCCCUAUAGGGCUCUUGGCAGUCCACGAAAGACCUGGAGUCCGCCUCCCCAUUUCUCCGGUCGGUGAGUGGCAGGAGGAAAUCGCCAAACAUGUUUUCCCGCUUUGCCUCCCCAACUCGGAAACUUGCAACUUGCCGUGUCCUGGAGGUUGAGACAAUUUGGGGUCUCUUGGCUGCCGUCCAACAGAUUUAUCUCUGAGGGCAGUGUCCUUGGUGAGAGGUCCAAGUAGGUGUGGGCGACAUUGUCCUCCAUCUCAUGAGGGAGCAGCCCUGCACACUAGGGCCCAAAACUCUGCGAAGGAGCUUGGAAGUUCUUCAUCCGUUCCACUUGUUUUGCUACUCCACACACCCUUCUAGGACAUGUUGAUUGCCAACUGCUCUGUGCAGCUUUCCCAUAGCUGUCUGUUCCCGUGCAUUUCGGAGCACCAAGCAAAUACGAGCAGAGAGACCUGGAAAAAAAAAUGAUGAAGACAGUAUUAAUGAUAAAAUUAACAUGGCUGAGUGAAUUGUCAAUGCAAGUUCCUUUACUAACUCUUUGUUAAGUUUUGCUUUGUACUCCUUACAUCCUCUUUCUCUUAAGCCAUUGUUUUAAUUUCUUCUCGUUAUCAUUUUUAAAAGUAACAGAAAUACAGCUUUCUUCCUACCUUCACGAUUGACUUGGUGGAGGUUGGGUUGCAAAGAGGAAGCAGUAAGAAAAAAUAAUUAUUCUAUACAUUCACAAGUCCUUCAAGGCACAAAAUAAAAGUAAGAAAUAGAAAAUAUGUCCUUUCUCCUAAUAAAGGUCUUUAUAAUAAAAUUUAAAUGAAGUUUUGUGUUUCAUAACAGCUUCCCAAAUACUGUUGUAGAUACUAAAAUGUGCCUGUAUGUAUUUCCUUCCACAAUAAUAAUAGUAAUAAUAAACUUUUUUAGGUCCAAAUUAAACAUUUCUCAGCUUAAAUUUCUAUCCUCAAUCCAACAUUUAUUAUAUCAAAACUUGAUUUUUAAAAAUAAAACUUUCUUGGAAUU